UGCGGCAAUGUGCUUUUGCACAUUGGGUAGGGGAGCGUUCUGUAAGCGGUUGAAGGUGUGUGGUAACGCAUGCUGGACGUAUCAGAAGUGCGAAUGCUGACAUGAGUAACGAUAAAGGGGGUGAAAAACCUCCUCGCCGGAAGACCAAGGGUUCCUGUCCAACGUUAAUCGGGGCAGGGUAAGUCGACCCCUAAGGCGAGGCCGAAAGGCGUAGUCGAUGGGAAACGGGUUAAUAUUCCCGUACUUCUUACAAUUGCGAUGGGGGGACGGAGAAGGCUAGGUGGGCCUGGCGACGGUUGUCCAGGUUCAAGUGCGUAGGCUUAAGAGUUAGGUAAAUCCGGCUCUUUUUAAGGCUGAGACACGACGUCGAGCCACUACGGUGGUGAAGUCAUUGAUGCCAUGCUUCCAGGAAAAGCCUCUAAGCUUCAGAUUGUAAGGAAUCGUACCCCAAACCGACACAGGUGGUCGGGUAGAGAAUACCAAGGCGCUUGAGAGAACUCGGGUGAAGGAACUAGGCAAAAUGGUACCGUAACUUCGGGAGAAGGUACGCUCUCGACGGUGAAGUCCCUCGCGGAUGGAGCUAUUGAGAGUCGCAGAUACCAGGUGGCUGCAACUGUUUAUUAAAAACACAGCACUGUGCAAAAUCGUAAGAUGACGUAUACGGUGUGACGCCUGCCCGGUGCCGGAAGGUUAAUUGAUGGGGUUAGACUUCGGUCGAAGCUCUUGAUCGAAGCCCCGGUAAACGGCGGCCGUAACUAUAACGGUCCUAAGGUAGCGAAAUUCCUUGUCGGGUAAGUUCCGACCUGCACGAAUGGCGUAAUGAUGGCCACGCUGUCUCCACCCGAGACUCAGUGAAAUUGAAAUCGCUGUGAAGAUGCAGUGUACCCGCGGCUAGACGGAAAGACCCCGUGAACCUUUACUACAGCUUGGCACUGAACAUUGACCCUACAUGUGUAG
rnacentral:rRNA from 1 species